rnacentral:rRNA from 1 species
CUCCACGUCCAUACCACGAUGAAAGCACCCGUUCUCGUUAGAUCACGGAAGUUAAGCAUUGUCAGGCCGGGAUAGUACUUGAAAGGGGGACCGCCUGGGAACUACUGGUGGCGUGGAGC